UACAGAGGUCUCAAGCGUUGUUCGGAUUCAUUGGGCGUAAAGGGUGCGUAGGCGGCGCGGUAAGUCGGGGGUGAAAUCCUGGAGCUCAACUCCAGAACUGCCUUCGAUACUGGCGAUCUUGAGUCCGGAAGAGGUGAGUGGAACUCCUAGUGUAGAGGUGGAAUUCGUAGAUAUUAGGAAGAACACCAGUGGCGAAGGCGGCUCACCGGUCCGGUACUGACGCUGAGGUGCGAAAGCGUGGGGAGCAAACAGG
rnacentral:rRNA from 1 species